UGAAGAACCCUUGAUUUCCGUCGCCUUCCUCCGGCAGAAAUCGACGCCCAGCAGCUACUCUCCGUUCAAUUGGAGUUACCGCUGCUUAAAUGGGCAUGUGGAGGCGCACACAGCCACCGUGUCUCCUUCAAACACCGUCGCUGCUACCACUUCGACGGAGUUCAUCACCGCGGAGGAAUGGAGGGUGGAGUCGCCGUCCAGCCGCUGUUGCCGCCCUCGUCAUAUUUACGCACCAGCCUCCCCACCAACCAGCCUCUUAUUGCUAUCACUGCUGUCCCCGGCUCGUGCUCACGAUUCGCCGCCGGUCGGUCCCUCCGGAACUCUGGACGCAGCACCAAGACAGCCACUGCCAUGGCGCUUUACCGUCGAGCUAAGGGCUCGUCACGCGGCCGUCUCCGGCAGCCCCAAAACUAAGCUAAGCCUUCUAAUCAUCGAUUACUUGAUUGGAUAUAAAUCGUUUUUCCCUUAGCAGUAGCUAAGUGAGCUUAGAGUUAAGUUCUUCUCUCUAUAUUACAUUCUUACCUGGUGAUAAAGUUUCAAAUCUUAGAAUGUUUGCUAUAUUCUUUUCGUGUGGGGUUCAAUGGAGUGGGUUCGGUUUGAAGAAGUUCUUGUUACUGGUCUAAAUUAUUAGAGGCAGUAGCAUAUCACUUCAUUAUUUGCUAUGAUGUAAGGAAGCUCUAAAUUCCAUCUAGAAAUAAGGGUAUGCUAGGCAGACUGUGAUUCGAGUUUUAAGAUUCUAUAUGAUGCUAUGAGAACGAUUGGGAGAGAGGAUGGAGGUGAAAUACCUCUUGCUGUAGUUACUGUCCGGACUCCGGCUCCAAGAAUUCCAAGCUCUUUAGCUCUCUCUGUUCCAGCCCCCCUCUCACCCUUUUACUCACUUACUUGCUCGUGGUAUGUGGUGGUGUGGGUGAAUGGAAACGAGGGUAUGGUAUUUAAAGGAUGGUUGUAACUAAAAGCUCUGUAAAGGUUGUUCAUUUGGCAGCCAAAAGGGUUUCUCUGAUCACUCUUGGUUGGCUGUAUGCUCUGCAGAAACACAGGCAUGUACCCGCACAUUAAUUGGGUUUUACAACCUCUUUUGUUGUCAUAUUACAGGGUGUCUCAGCCCCUUUGUUUGUUGCUGGGAACCUCUGCACUCGUGGUACAUUUCCUGCGGUACAACCCUUGUGGCUGCCACUGAAACCCUGCAGCUUGGAGUGCUAUAGGUGCAGCUUUCCUCUGGCACGUACUGGCUGGAUAACCAGCUGGGAGGGCAGGCCAUUUCUGGUGGUGGCAGCCCUCAAUCCUUCCCAUUUUGAGAAUAGGGCUGCUAGGUGCGGUUCCCACCUUGGUGCCCCAGUUCGUCGGGCCGCUUGAGCUAGGCCGAGAUCGGGCCUGAUGUAUAUCCUAUGACUCGAUUUGUAGAAACUUGAUUCGACUUAAAUUUCUAUGAUCGUUCUACAUGUAGACAAGUCUCUGUAAUAUUUAAUAUGUAUUCCAUUCAAGCAUUUGCAGUUUAUUAGCUUGAAAUUCUUUAUAUUGUAUUUCUUUUACUCAAGAAAUAACAAAUACUCUCUCAUUCUUUAUCUAA